rnacentral:rRNA from 1 species
UUGAUCCUGGCUCAGGAUGAACGCUAGCGGCAGGCUUAACACAUGCAAGUCGAGGGGUAUUAAUCUUCGGAUUAAGAGACCGGCGCACGGGUGCGUAACGCGUAUGCAAUCUACCUUUCACAGAGGGAUAGCCCAGAGAAAUUUGGAUUAAUACCUCAUAGUAUAACGACCUGGCAUCAGGAUGUUAUUAAAGUCACAACGGUGAAAGAUGAGCAUGCGUCCCAUUAGCUAGUUGGUAAGGUAACGGCUUACCAAGGCUACGAUGGGUAGGGGUCCUGAGAGGGAGAUCCCCCACACUGGUACUGAGACACGGACCAGACUCCUACGGGAGGCAGCAGUGAGGAAUAUUGGACAAUGGGCGCAAGCCUGAUCCAGCCAUGCCGCGUGCAGGAUGACGGUCCUAUGGAUUGUAAACUGCUUUUAUACGAGAAGAAACACUCCUUCGUGAAGGAGCUUGACGGUAUCGUAAGAAUAAGGAUCGGC